UGUGUGUUUGUGUGUGUGUGUCCCUCAACAUAGGGAGCAAAAAGCCUGACUUAGCAAAACUGCCACAACUGUCACAAUUUCUCCAAGAAAAAACACACAGCCCACAGCAGAAUUACUGGAGAGACAAACACUCACACACACACACACACAUAGCAUCAGCAUAGGAAUAAUCCCCUCAGACAGGUUGAUGAUUCAGGGAGAAACAUAUCACUGUGUGCGUGUUUACAUCGAUAACAUUGUUAUAUGUGCAUUGUUUUGCUGUCAAGCGCACUUCUCCCUCACCGCGCAACCAUAGAGGUGCCAGUCUGUUUGACAUGUAUGCUGUGUUGCGACAGGGAGCUGACAGUUAUUGACAGUGAACAACAACUUCUGGAGUCAGAUGGAAGGAAGCCAGUGGGUGACAGGAAGCAGGCCUGAGAAGUCUGCAGUCUUCUUAGGAGUCUUAGGAGUCGCAAACCUGGUGGGGGGUCCUCUGUCAGCUAAAGAGUCUACAUGUAUACUGCCUGGGUCUAAUUGCACUCUGGUCACUUUUGGUUCUCAUUUAAAGGUACACAACAAUACUUUAGGUAUAUUUGGCGACUGUAGAGCUCCCUCUAGAAUCGCGAUAUAUUUAUAUUUUACUCUGCUGUUGCAAACUUGGCGGUUGCAAAAUGGCAAACUUCUCGUGACUUAUCCCCCUGUACACAAUGAAAAUGCUUUUGCUGUGGAGGUGAAGGAUUAACAACAGGCAAAACAGUCUCCAAAGAGCUACAUCUACUGACAAAGUAAUGUUUUACGAUUCUCCCGAGAUUUGUCAGGCCGCCAUUCUUGAAGUUGCAUGGCUGGUUUUCUCGGUAACCAAUCGCCA